rnacentral:snRNA from 1 species
AUCGCUUCUCGGCCUUUUGGCUAACAUCAAAUGUAGUACCUGUUCUUAUUAGUUUAAUAUCUGAUAUGUCCUCUAUCCAAGUGCCUGCCCUGUGGACUCAAACUCCAGCAUCAGACAUGAAGACAGAGAUUGCUUAAGCUGCUCCCACAAUCAAUUGUAU